AAACCCUAGUCCCUUUCUCAUUGCCCGCGCGCGCCGCCAUGGGCACCCGGCAGCGGCAUCCUCCCUGCCCGCCGCGCCAUACUGCCUCCCGCACGACCCUGUUGGCCCGCCGCUUCGCAUGCUCGAACCCUCAUCUCCUCCCAGGUGCUCUCUCCUCACCUCAUCGUCGUCGCGGCGGGCACCGAGCAGAUCUGGGGCUUAAUCUGCUCCAGAUCUUGGGGUGGCGGGUCUUAAUCUGCUGCAGAAGGGGGAGACACGCCAUGACCAAGCACUCCCCGGAGGCACUGGUGCUUAUCUCCCGUGGAAGCUUUCAGGGCGGGUUCCCGGCGAGCGGCGUCGUCAGCUCCGGCACUAACCUCGGAGUGCCCAGUCCUAGAUGAGCAUGACAGUAGAAAAUGACGAGAUUGCUACCAAGACAAGGCUGCUGUCACUUGAACUGUUGGAGGCGUGCGCCCGUGCUCAUGUGCCUCCAUGUGUGGCUCUCUAAUCAGAUCUAGGAACUGCCUCCCUUUGCAGCAGGGGCCAAACUAUGUGCCACCAUAUGCAUAGUCAGAUCUCUAAUUAGAUGACCUGCCUCCACUAUUGUACGCAUGUUAAGCUCGGACAUUUAAUUGCAUCUGGAAAGGCCUAAGAGAGUUAUCCCCCAUGGGAACAGAGACCAGGAUACAUUAUCUCUCAGGAUAUAUGCAGCAGAUUUUUUUUUUAGAAAAACAAAAAAGGGAGCCACCUAGACGCUGCAUCCUUGCAACUCGUCAGUUGCUUUGAUGUUCAAGCUGGAGGAUGAAGAUUGAAGGCUUUGAUGUACUGUACGAGAACGAAACAAGCUUCUUGGUGGAAGGCUAUGAGGAUGGAUAUCAGGAUAGAUAUGUAGUUGCCCACUACAAGUAGCCAAGGCAGAUGAUGUGCCUCUGAGAUAAAUUCCAGAAAACAGAGCAAGAAAUUUUUGCUCCAGAAGUGAACCAUAAUGUUUCCUCUAUUUAAUUAGUUACAUUAGCUUAUAGGAAACUUGAGUGGUCAUUUGUUCAUAACAGAUGAACUAUUUAUAUGUGAAAAUUAAUGAAUGUGUGUU